rnacentral:rRNA from 1 species
GAUCAUGGCUCAGGAUAAACGCUGGCGGCGUGCUUAACACAUGCAAGUCGAACGGAGUAAUUCUCCCGAAGAUUGAAGAAGCUUGCUUCUGAAAGAUUCAUUUGAAUUACUUAGUGGCGGACGGGUGAGUAACGCGUGGGAAACCUGCCCUAUACUGGGGGAUAGCAGUUGGAAACGACUGAUAAUACCGCAUAAGCGCACAGCUUCGCAUGAGGCAGUGUGAAAAACUCCGGUGGUAUAGGAUGGUCCCGCGUCUGAUUAGCUAGUUGGUGAGGUAACGGCCCACCAAGGCGACGAUCAGUAGCCGGCCUGAGAGGGUGUACGGCCACAUUGGGACUGAGACACGGCCCAAACUCCUACGGGAGGCAGCAGUGGGGAAUAUUGGACAAUGGGGGAAACCCUGAUCCCAGCGACGCCGCGUGAACGAAGAAGUAUUUCGGUAUGUAAAGUUCUAUCAGCAGGGAAGAUAAUGACGGUACCUGACUAAGAAGCACCGGCUAAAUACGUGCCAGCCGCCGC